rnacentral:rRNA from 1 species
UACGUAGGGGGCUAGCGUUGUCCGGAAUCAUUGGGCGUAAAGAGCGCGUAGGCGGCCAGAUAAGUCCGGUGUGAAAGUCACAGGCUCAACCUGUGAAUGCCGCUGGAAACUGUCUGGCUAGAGUCCGGAAGGGGCGAGUGGAAUUCCUGGUGUAGCGGUGAAAUGCGUAGAUAUCUGGAGGAACACCGGUGGCGAAGGCGGCGUUCUGGACUGUAACUGACACUGAAAAACGAAAGCCAGGGGAGCAAACGGG